CAACUUUCAACAACGGAUCUCUUGGCUCUCGCAUCGAUGAAGAACGCAGCGAAA
rnacentral:rRNA from 1 species